GCCACAGCGGGCGCCUACAUUGCCUCCCAGACGGUAAAGAAGGUGAUAGAGAUCAACCCCUACCUGCUGGGCACCAUGGAGGGGGUGCGGCGGAUUGCAGCUUCUGGG
rnacentral:miRNA from 1 species